GUUAGUGGCUUAUGGUCUGUUUUCAGUAUAAAUCGCCGGCCAUACAAAUACUGAUGAUAUUUUCUAAUACCAAAUACUAUAGCAAGUGCUUCCCUAUCUAUUUGUGCGUAUGAGCGCUCUGCAGAGGUGAGUGAUCGGGAUGCAUACCCUAUUGGUCGUUCGCCUUGCGGUGUGACAUGUGACAACACUGCUCCAACACCCACACUGCUUGCAUCUGUGGUUAGUAUUAUUGGUACUAUUGGUGUUGCCCAGUCAGAACGGUCGACGGGCGUGAGGAUAACGUCCUGCACCAGCUGGUCUAGGGCACGCUCCACCGGUGCUCUCAUUGCGUACGCCAGUGGUCGCGCCCGCAUGUACACAGGGCGCGCCCCCUCACGCACGUGGAUGCUUACUGGCCCACCGGUGAAACAGCCCAACCCGUCCUCGAAGACUUUACAAUAUCUGGAACAGAAAUGUUUUACAUUAAAAGUUUCAUAUUUACCUAACAUAUUGAUAUGGUCAUAUUUGAUUAUUGGCAAUUUAAUAUUAAGUUCUGCUAGCCAUUGCCUGCCUAGUAAGACAGUGUUACCAUCUUAAAUAAUAUAUAAAUCUAAUACUUUA